AGGGCUAACGCUGGCGGCGUGCCUAACACAUGCAAGUCGAACGGGGUAGCAAUACCCAGUGGCAGACGGGUGAGUAACACGUGGUCAACCUACCUCUAUGUGGGGGAUAACUAGCCGAAAGGUUAGCUAAUACCGCAUACGAUCGCUUUGGGGCAUCCCUAGGCGAUGAAAGGAGCAAUCCGCAUAGAGAGGGGACUGCGUCCCAUUAGUUAGUUGGUGGGGUAACGGCCUACCAAGACUCCGAUGGGUAGCUGGCUUGAGAGAGCGACCAGCCACACUGGAACUGAGACACGGUCCAGACUCCUAUGGGAGGCAGCAGUGAGGAAUUUUCCGCAAUGGGCGAAAGCCUGACGGAGCGACGCCGCGUGUGGGAAGAAGGCCUUCGGGUCGUAAACCACUGUCGAAGGGGACGAUAAUGACGGUACCCUUGGAGGAAGCCCCGGCUAACUACGUGCCAGCAGCCGC
rnacentral:rRNA from 1 species